UCAUUUGAAUUUGUCUAGCCUUACACAAAUGUUUAUAUUCUUCUUCCAAACAAGGCAAACUUUAAUAGCAGUUUAUUCUUACUGUUGUACUUUUUUUUUUUAAAGCAUCAAACUAGGGUUUGGUACAUCAUCCUCAGGCUGCAGAAGCACCUCCUGUUCCUGCCCUGGCAGGGGAACCAGCCUGUGCAGCAGGACGCAGCAUUAGCCAGCAGAGAAGGGGUCGGGUGAACAGGGGAUGGUGAACAGGGGAUGAGGGCAAAUGCCCACUGCUUGUGGAUUGACUGUGGUAAAUUGUGAUUACGUUUUCCUGAAGAGGAAAAGCAACAGGCAAAUGAAGGAAAGUCCUUGGAAUUUACAUCAACAGCACAGAACAGGCUGGGCUGGUUUCCUGCUUCUCCCUUACUGGUUUCACGCCCUGCAAGCUACAUCGUGAAGCAGCAUCGUCCAUAUCAAGCAUGUUUCUUCUUGGAGCUAAACCAUACAAGCCCAGCAAAGACAGAACUGGCACUGAAGGUAUUUAAUGAAAGGAAGACUUUGAAGACUGUUCUGUUUACAAAGUCUGAAGAUGAAUCUUCCCAAGAGAAAAAUCUUCUACAUUUUUAGACCCAUUCCAUAGCUACGUCUAAGACUGAAGCCCAGAAGUUCAUGAACAUCACCCAUGGUUGCAAGCAAUACCAGAUGAAAGCAAAACAACUUAAAGUGAAUUUCCAGCUCUCAACUACUCUCCUGAAGGUUCACCUCCCAGCUUUUAUGGAAGAACUUAAGAAUCUCCUUUACUGAAACUUAGUAUACGAUCAGAUCCUUACCAUCAAGGUAUUGAUGGUAAGCAGUAAUAAGAAAUGCGUAUGUACAGAUUAGCAGACUAAUUCUGGGAGGUGUCUGAGCACUUAACAGGACAUGUCCAAAUAAAUGAAGAUAAUGAAGUGUAAUCUGGUGAGAAGUACUAUUAUUAAGGAAAGCCUGGCCAAAGUCUUUUGAAGAAAAAAUGCCUAGUCCUACAAUCUUGCAAGAGAAACUGGAGGAAAUGCUGAGCUUUGGCAUGUGUUUCUUCUCCAUUUUCCUCCUAUGAAAUGGUCUCAUAGAUAAGUCCAAAACAAUUAUUAAACAUCCAUUGUGUGUAGCUUGCUUUGGACAGAGAUAUUGCAGCAGAAUAUGUACUCUCACACAGGCAAGAAGCAGAACUCUCCUGCUGAGUAAGACAACUAUCACAACUGCAUGACAAGUGCAGGCAGUUUCUGUACUGGUUUUUGUUCUGUUCAGAGUAAAGGUGAAAGAUGCCAACCUACAUGAAAAACGUUUGCCAGAGGUGGCUAUGAUGACAGUUACACAAAUGUCUGAUAAAUAAGCAAGUUAAUUUUACUCCAUGCAUCAGUUACAAUGAUCAGAGACGCUAUAUAUAUUUCUGGGGAAAAAAUGAAAUACCAUUGAUCUGCUCAGCUCCUCCACCAUGUGUUAAAGCUUCUGCAGGCAUAGGAAUUUUUUUUCUCUAGGUAAACUCCCCUCAAAUUUCAAUCAAGCUCGUGACUGCAGCUGAGGCAGAAGAACUUUAUUCCAAAUCUGCUGCUUUGCAUCUUUAUCUAUUUCGGUAACAGCUUCAGGCAACAGGGUUACAGACAGAACCAAAAUAACUCUCUAUAACUCUCUCUUCUGGCAAUCAGGAAUGCGUGUUCCAAAAUUUGAACUUUGUGACCGAUCACACAAGCUGCAUUCCUCACCCAUACUAUUAACUUAUUAAAAAUUAUUUACAAAUGAGAAGCACUGCAGAUUUCACAUGUGAUGUUUAACAUUCAGUAAAAGGAGGAACUGAAGUGUCUGAAUGUACCACGCCAUUUGUUAUUACCAGAUGAAAGACAAGCAUCCUUACUCUAGUCUUUGAAAUCCAAGCGUUAAUAUUUAAUCUGUCAGAAUUAACAUUCAAGUUUUUUUGAAAGCAUUCAUCUUUAUUCUCAGUGCCGGUGAGCUUACAACUACAUUUUUUCCCCUUUUUCUACGAAGUUUCUUUCAAAGUUGGCUGCAUUGAAAGGAGUAGCUGGAAGAGCUCUCAUCUGUGAUUCAGUAGAAAGGAUAAGCUACAGAGCAAACUAAAGCAUUAGGAGUUAUUACUGUAAGCCUCCAAAAUACAUUCUCCUGAUUGUCAAUUUUAAGUAAAGCUCAAACGUUAUCUAUUCCUACUGAUUUUUAAAAUGAACUCGUAAUACUGCAAAUGCCAGCAUUAUUUAAAAUGCCAGAAAAGUGAAGAGACAGUUCCACUAAAUGACAUCCUUUUAAUAAAACUUUUUAUUUACCUUCUGAAUUAAACAUAGUUUAAUCCCCGCCAUUACAUUUUGAAGCUGACAUCUGCUCAGGCAGAAGACUUCAGCUCCCUUUAUGCAGAAGAUAAUUAGCACUUAGACCAGCAGUGCAAUCUGCCUCACCCCAAGAGGUCCUAUUUGGAUACUUCGGAUUCAGACACUACCACAUCCAGACUACUGCAUGUAUUUCAGACACGAAACAUCUAAAAGUUGGGGCUUAUGGUAUAAAACAACCCUUUUCUGCUCUAACUUUUCAGUAGCGCACCUCACUGAACCAUCAGGUCUGAUCAAGCAGCAGAUCCUCUACAGUUAAGAAGUCCAAAGGUACAGUUUGCAACAUGAACAAAGUAAACUUGCUUGGUUCCAGCAUUACUGCAGCAUAAGGACCAUUUCAGCAUCCUGGGUAGAAGAUAAAAACCUUUUUACUUAACCACCACUUGAAGACAAGCAAUAACAAGAAGAAAACCCAAACCAUCUAUGUUUAGUACUAUGUAAAACAAGUUUGAAGUCACAAUUCAGUCCCAAAGUAAACAAGACCAGAGAGAACAGAUAGUAUAUAAAAAGCCUUCUUUUCUUAUGUCAAAAAAAGCAGUUUCCAAGUCCAGGUUACAGUUCACUAGCAGGGCACUGAUGUCUGUAUUGCAACCACGCUGUGAGAACACUGACUUAAAAUAAGCCUAAGUUCUAAGACAUCAGGACCGAAGAGAAAGGUUUGAAGAGAAAGGUUUUCCAAAAGCACUUUUGAAAUGCUUCCCCUAAAAGGCUAACAAGAAUUCUAAGUUAAAGUAAGGGAUUGCAUUCCUAUAGAGUGCUUCUGAAAAGUUCCCUGGUCAUAAGCAGCAUUCAACUGUAACACCAUGUGACAUGCCAACAACCAUCUUCGAGGUAGACAAAAUCUUUUUUUUCAAGCACAGAUUAAACUAAGGCAAAGUAGGAAACAGGCUCACUUUCCAAACAGAACAGAAGCCGAUUUGGGAACAGAGUUUGGGUUCAAAAAAAAAAAAAAAAUUUAACUUCUCUUAUCACUAAGCAACCCCACAGAUGGUCUAAAGCAGACACACACCUAAAUACAACACAGACAAGCCUCCACUUACACCUAGAGCUAAAACACUUAGAGACAAGCAAACAAAAGUCAGAUACGAAUACUGACAGAG